rnacentral:rRNA from 1 species
AUGUCCGGCUCUUGGUGGAGGCGCCCAGUGCGGCGACUAUCUCAUACUGUCUGCCUCGGCCACGCACACGUUGAGUACGCCCGCGCUCGCCGCGAGCCCUGUCGUGCCGCGCUCGCCUUGAGCCGUACUCGCGCCCGCCGCUGCCCUCACACCGCGCUCGCAGCCGCCUUCGUGCUGUGCUCGCCGCUCGGCUGGUCGCGCUGCGCUCACCGCCGCAGCCACCGCGAGCCGCCCCGGCCGCGCGUGUGCUCGCACCUGCCGGCACGUCGUGUCUGCCUGCACCCGAGAGCUCUGGCGUGA